rnacentral:rRNA from 1 species
CCCAAAGGACUUGGCGGUGCCUCACACCCACCUAGAGGAGCCUGUUCACCCACCUAGAGGAGCCUGUUCUUGAAUCGAUAAUCCCCGUUCAACCUCACCACCCCUUGUUAGACCCGCCUAUAUACCGCCGUCGUCAGCUCACCCUGUGAAGGACUUAAAGUGAGCAGAAUGGGCAAAACCCAGAACGUCAGGUCAAGGUGCAGCGUAUGAGGUGGGAAGUAAUGGGCUACAUUACCUACAACAGGUUACUACGGAUGGAGCCGUGAAACCGGCUCCUAAAGGUGGAUUUAGCAGUAAGGGGGAAAUAGAGAGUUCUCCUGAAGCCGGCUCUGAGGCGCGCACAUACCGC